rnacentral:rRNA from 1 species
CCUACGGGGGGCAGCAGUAGGGAAUCUUCCACAAUGGGCGAAAGCCUGAUGCAGCAACGCCGCGUGGGUGAAGAAGGUCUUCGGAUCGUAAACCCCUGUUGUUAGAGAAGAACGUGCGUGAGAGUAACUGUUCACGUUUUGACGGUAUCUGACCAGAAAGCACCGGCUAACUACGUGCCAGCAGCCGCGGUAAUACGUAGGUGGCAAGCGUUAUCCGGAGUUAUUGGGCGUAAAGGGAACGCAGGCGGUCUUUUAAGUCUGAGGUGAAAGCCCUGGGCUGAACCGGAGAAGUGCAUUGGAAACUGGGAAACUUGAGUGUAGAAGAGGAGAGUGGAACUCCAGGUGUAGCAGUGAAAUGCGUAGAUAGAUGGAAGAACACCAGUGGCGAAGGCGACUCUCUGGUCUAUAACUGACGCUGAGGUUCGAAAGCGUGGGUAGCAAACAGGAUUAGAUACCCUAGUAGUC